rnacentral:rRNA from 1 species
AUUGAACGCUGGCGGCAUGCUUUACACAUGCAAGUCGAACGGUAACAGGUUAAGUUGACGAGUGGCGAACGGGUGAGUAAUGCAUCGGAACGUGCCCGGUCGUGGGGGAUAACGCAGCGAAAGCUGCGCUAAUACCGCAUACGAUCUAAGGAUGAAGGCGGGGGACCGUAAGGCCUCGCGCGAUCGGAGCGGCCGAUGUCAGAUUAGGUAGUUGGUGGGGUAAAGGCUCACCAAGCCAACGAUCUGUAGCUGGUCUGAGAGGACGACCAGCCACACUGGGACUGAGACACGGCCCAGACUCCUACGGGAGGCAGCAGUGGGGAAUUUUGGACAAUGGGCGAAAGCCUGAUCCAGCAAUGCCGCGUGCAGGAAGAAGGCCUUCGGGUUGUAAACUGCUUUUGUACGGAGCGAAAAGGUCUCCUCUAAUACAGGUGGCUCAUGACGGUACCGUAAGAAUAAGCACCGGCUAACUACGUGCCAGCCGCCGCAGUAA